rnacentral:rRNA from 1 species
AGAGCGAACGUUAGCGGCGGGCCUAACACAUGCAAGUCGAGCGCGAAAGGGGAGCAAUCCCCAAGUAGAGCGGCGAACGGGUGAGUAACGCGUGGGUAAUCUGCCUCCGAGUGGGGAACAACAUCGGGAAACUGGUGCUAAUACCGCAUAACAUCGUUGGGUCUUCGGAUCUGACGAUCAAAGCCGGGGACCGCAAGGCCUGGCGCUUGGAGAGGAGCCCGCGUCCGAUUAGCUAGUUGGUGGGGUAAUGGCCUACCAAGGCUUCGAUCGGUA